rnacentral:lncRNA from 1 species
UACCUGUUAGAUAUCUUUUUCCUUUUAUUGAUGUGCACUAAGCACUUCUCAAUGAUGUUUCAUGGUUUGCAGAACAUAUCUGAACUUAGCUGAGAAAUGAUUUCAAAAGUAGACUUCCACUGGGAAUGUCAAUGAGGUAAGGACAUUUUUGACAUAUUAUCUGCAUUACUGAGCUUUAUUUGAUUUGCAAGAUUAAAAGAGAUUGAGUUGAAAGAAGCAGUGAGCUGCACCUUAAUGGAACAAUAACCUGACAUCAAAGAUGUGUGUGAUUUGAAAGACUGAGUGGCAGCUGCUACAAGGAGAUUAUAAAAUCAGAAUCCAGGCUUCAGUAGUGUUUUGGUGUUGAACACAAACCUGUAGUUCAGUUCAGGAAUAAUUUUAGCACAUCAAACGUAAUCUAUGCUGACUACUUUUUUGCUUCCAUCUUUUUCCCUAAUUAGAUAAUCAACAGCUUACAUUACUGUCUGAAAUACCCAGAGAGAAUUAUGUUACUUUUCUACUUGUGACAGCUAUAUUUUUAGCCAAAGCUUAAACACAGUCUUCAUCAUCUAGGGGAUGACUCAGUGGGGUGAGGUCAAAAAAUGGCAAACUGGACACGUACUUUCACUUCCUAGAAAAGGAAAGUAGAGAAAAAUCACUCGUGUCAAUCCCUCAUUCCUAUCCAGAAUUUGAGCCUACAGCUCUCUGGUUCCUGGGUAAUCUAUCAGCUGGGAGAUUCUUUUCAAGGUGGAACAGGAUAAUAGACCUCCAUUCUGCAUCUGUCUGGCAAAUCCUGUGUCUGCAGCUCUCAGUGUCUGGCAAACGUUCUGCUUCCUCUGUCUGGAUAUAAAUACAGACAAAAGUUUCUGUAAGGAUCCUGGGGUUUUCCUACGUUUUUAAACAGUUGUAAAGCUGCAUUUUUGCAACAUAUCCACUGUGCUGAUAUACCUGAUCCAGUUAAUGCCAAAAACCACAGUGUGAAAACACAGUAAAAGCCCUGUCAUAUCAAUGCAUAAAACUUAAUGUCCUGUUUCUAUUUGUGGUUUAAAUACUAUUCAUGUUUUGUGAUUGAAAGGAAGUGUGCAGUGAAAGAAAUUCACAUGAGAAAAUGAAAACCCUUACCUAGAAGAGGAAGAACUUAAUAAUGGUGUAAAAUCCUUUCUGUACAUAGGAUUUAUUAAUAUUUUGC